UUGUAUGUACCUUCACAUUAUCAAAAAUGUUUAUUCAUGUUCUGGUGUAUGGAGUACACAUUUCUUUUUUUUUUGUUAAGCUCAAAAAUCAGUACAUGAAGUUAUGAAUCAGUGUAAGGGACACGUUUUUAACAAAGGGACUAAAAUAUGAAUUUGAUUCCAACUCAGUGGUAAACACUUCCAAUCAGUUACGUAGAGCCAUGUGUAACAUUGGUCAUUGGUUCUAUCUGCCGAUUUCAAAAUCAAGUGUACCAAAGUUCCUAUAGAACACAGAACUUUUGUGCUUAAUUUAAUUGAUAAUAUGUUUUAGGAAGAGUUUUUAAAAUUAACGAAUUUAUUGCAAAGCAGUAAAGCACACAAAUCACUGAAAACAGAAUGACGAUAUCAUAAA